rnacentral:ncRNA from 1 species
AGGUUCGCGCGUUGCGAUGAAAUGGGAAUGGGGUGAGAAUCCCCGACUGUCCCGCAGCUGUAAGGCCCUUUUAUCGCCGCCAAGCGUGUAGCCACUGCCUAUUUGAUUGUCGGGCGGGAAGGUGCUUGGUGGUAGGGUCGAAGUCAGAAGACCAGCCUCAGACAAU